GAUCAUGGCUCAGAUUGAACGCUGGCGGCAUGCCUUACACAUGCAAGUCGAACGGUAACAGGUCUUCGGACGCUGACGAGUGGCGAACGGGUGAGUAAUACAUCGGAACGUGCCCAGUCGUGGGGGAUAACUACUCGAAAGAGUAGCUAAUACCGCAUACGAUCUGAGGAUGAAAGCGGGGGGACCUUCGGGUCCGUCGCGCGAUUGNGCGGGCCCGGACUGGCGAGAUUAGGUUAGUUGGUGGGAG
rnacentral:rRNA from 1 species